UUUCAACCUUACAAUUUCUAAGACUUGUGACUUAUCUAUAUGAUCUCUCUUGGUGGAUGUUCUGCAUGACUUUGAAAAGAAUGUUCCUUGUUCCUUUAUUUCUCUCUUGCUGUGUUCCUUUCUGGAUUGGUGAUUUCCGUAGUGUUUGACUUCCUUCUGUGAAAUCAAGAUAAUGAGUCAUCAUACUCCCUUAGAUAAUAAUUCUCAAGAAGCUUUUGUUGUGUGUGUAUGGUGUGGAAUGAAAUUGUACUACAAGCAAAUUUGACUUGGCAAAGCCUGUA